GACGAACGCUGGCGGCGUGCUUAACACAUGCAAGUCGAACGGAAAGGCCUCUUUCGGGGGGUACUCGAGUGGCGAACGGGUGAGUAACACGUGAGUAACCUGCCCUUGACUUUGGGAUAACUUCAGGAAACUGGGGCUAAUACCGGAUAGGAGCUCCUGCUGCAUGGGGGGGGGUGGAAAGUUUCGGCGGUUGGGGGUGGACUCGCGGCUUAUCAGCUUGUUGGUGGGGUAGUGGCUUACCAAGGCUUUGACGGGUAGCCGGCCUGGGAGGGUGACCGGCCACAUUGGGACUGAGAUACGGCCCAGACUCCUACGGGGGGCAGCAGGGGGGAAUAUUGCACAAUGGGUGGAAGCCUGGUGCAGCAACGCCGUGUGCGGGAUGACGGCCUUCGGGUUGUAAACCGCUUUCGCUCAUGACGAAGCUUUGUGUGACGGUAGUGGGUAAAGAAGCACCGGCUAACUACGUG
rnacentral:rRNA from 1 species